rnacentral:rRNA from 1 species
AUGAACGCUGGCGGCGUGGAUAAGGCAUGCAAGUCAAACGGGUCCGCCUCGCAAGAGGCGAGAUCAGUGGCGGACGAGUUAGUAAUACCUUGGAACGUACUCCGAAGACGGGGAUAACUAGUCGAAAGAUUAGCUAAUACCCGAUGGUCUCGCAAGAGUAAAGAUGCAAAUCACUUCGGAAGCGGCCUAGGUCCUAUCAGCUUGUUGGUGAGGUAACGGCUCACCAAGGCAAUGACGGGUAGGGGGUGUGAGAGCACGUCCCCCAACGAUGAAACUGCGAUACGGUUCAUACACCUACGGGUGGCUGCAGUCGAGAAUAUUCGACAAUGGGCGAAAGCCUGAUCGAGCGACGCCGCGUGCGGGAAGAAGUGCUUCGGCAUGUAAACCGCUUUUGCGUGGGAAAAAUUUUGAUUGUACCACGAGAAUAAGGGGUUGCUAACCUCGU